rnacentral:tRNA from 1 species
GGCCCCUUCGUCUAGUGGCCCAGGACGGCAGCUUCUCAAGCUGUAGACACGGGUUCGAUUCCCGUAGGGGCUA